rnacentral:rRNA from 1 species
GACGAACGCUGGCGGCGUGCUUAACACAUGCAAGUCGAGCGGUAAGGCCCUUUCGGGGGUACACGAGCGGCGAACGGGUGAGUAACACGUGGGUGACCUGCCCUCAGCUCUGGGAUAAGCCUGGGAAACCGGGUCUAAUACCGGAUAUGACUCCAUGACGCAUGUUGUGGGGUGGAAAGCCUUGUGCGGCUGAGGAUGGGCCCGCGGCCUAUCAGCUUGUUGGUGGGGUGANGGCCUACCAAGGCGACGACGGGUAGCCGGCCUGAGAGGGUGACCGGCCACACUGGGACUGAGACACGGCCCAGACUCCUACGGGAGGCAGCAGUGGGGAAUCUUGCGCAAUGGGCGAAAGCCUGACGCAGCGACGCCGCGUGAGGGAUGACGGCCUCGG